CUCUCUUUCAUCAUCACUAUACUUCCUGUAUCCUUGUUUCUAUACUCGGAGUCCUAGGCCAGUGUGGUGGGCUGAAAAUGGAAUUGAUGAGCUGGGAGGAAACAAUUCCUUUGGACCAAUGCCAUAUUCCAGAUAUGGGGAGCAAUGAGCUGGUGGUGGAGAGGCUGGAGACUGACUCCCCAACCCCAUGAAACAACUGGGGUGAAGUGGACAAAUGAAGUAACUGAAUCUUGAAAAUGGGCUGAAAUGAAACACCCCGGAUCUGAGCACCAAGUACAGUAGGGUAGAGUUGGGGAGCUCAUGUUGGAACACGAGGAAGUUCGGGGCAGGAACUCUGAAAACAAAAUUGGCUGGUUUCUCUUCUCCCUCCUCGCUCUGGAUCCCUUAUAGGAAUCACAGAUGUAAGUGCUGUUGGAAGUUCGUAUCCAUCCAGUUGGUUAGCAUGGCCCCUUAUUGGCAUCCCCCACCAAUUUCACCAUGGGGGCAGGUAUGGGGCAAGAAAGAGACUAACACGGCUGCUACUCUGAAACCAGUCUCUGAACUGAUCUUCCAAACAUUGCCAGGCCGUCUUUCAGUACCUGAAGCUGCAGAUGCUUUCAGAAAGCUGUAUCUUUCUGCACACGUGAACAGGAACUCCUUUCUGCAGGAUUUUAGUAAGGAAACUGCUUAGUAAAGGUUUGCUCUUUAGAGAAAUUCAUGGUGUAUCUCUCUAGAGAAUCCUGUUGCUUUCAGAGCUGCUCAUUUAAGGGAGAGUGGCCGCGAUGACCGUUCCUCUUGCUGCCAUGAGCCAUGGGCAGUGGGAUUUUGUGUCAUCGCAGAUUAAACUUGGCCUUUCUUCACUCAGAGUGCUCUUGGAUGGGUUUGGCCGUCCAUUGGCACCUUCUGAAUUUUGCGGGGUCAGACACUCAAAGAGGCAGAAGGGGACUGGACUUUUAGGGAAAGAAAUGGGGUUGAAAAACCACCUGCUCUGUACCGAUUACUCUGUCAACUUUAGGCAGUGGGCUACAGUAACCAGACUGUAAAAUUACUAUGUGAGCUGAAAGAUUGUCUGAGCUGAAGCAGUAGGAGCUAUGCUGGCCUCAGCUGGGAGGAGUUAGUACAGUUAAGCUAUCUAGUUUUCUAAGAGGCAAUUGUGUGCUGCAUUCUGCAUCUUUAAUACUGAGAUUCCUUAUCUUUACAGGGAUGAUUUGAGAUGAACCUUCAAGGAAAAUGUAUCUUUCUCUCCACCAGCAUCAACUGUAAGAGAGAAUUUGGGGCCUGAAGAUUAAAAGAUUUGCCCCGUCUCUGAUCUGUAUUACAAGGACUUUUUGAAGUUAUGUCCAGGAAAGCCUGUACUAAAAACAGGAUAAUUAAACUAGAAUGGAUGUGUAA